AAGUAAGAAACUAAAAGUAUUAUGGUUUCGGCCCAUAACUUGGUGCAAUUACACACCCUUGCUUU
rnacentral:tRNA from 1 species